rnacentral:sRNA from 1 species
AAUGCUCCAUCGUGGAGCAUUUUUCAAUUUGUCUUUCAAAUUUGAAAAAUGAAAAAUGCUCCAACGUGGAGCAUUUUUCAAU